AGCACGGUGUGCGGAACUGCGUAUGCAACCUUACCUCAAUCAUGGGGAUAGCCCGAAGAAAUUCGGAUUAACACCGCAUAAAAACACAGGAUAGCAUUAUCUAAUGUUCAAAUAUUUAUAGGAUUGAGAUGGGCAUGCGUGUCAUUAGCUAGUUGGCGGGGUAACGGCCCACCAAGGCGACGAUGACUAGGGGAUCUGAGAGGAUGACCCCCCACACUGGUACUGAGACACGGACCAGACUCCUACGGGAGGCAGCAGUAAGGAAUAUUGGUCAAUGGAGGCAACUCUGAACCAGCCAUGCCGCGUGCAGGAAGACAGCCCUCUGGGUCGUAAACUGCUUUUAUUCGGGAAUAAACCUUAUUACGUGUAAUAAGCUGAAUGUACCGAAGGAAUAAGGAUCGGCUAACUCCGUGCCAGCAGCCGCGGUAAUACGGAGGAUCCAAGCGUUAUCCGGAUUUAUUGGGUUUAAAGGGUGCGUAGGCGGCUUAUUAAGUCAGGGGUGAAAGACGGUGGCUCAACCAUCGCAGUGCCUUUGAUACUGAUGAGCUUGAAUGAACUAGAGGUAGGCGGAAUGUGACAAGUAGCGGUGAAAUGCAUAGAUAUGUCACAGAACACCGAUUGCGAAGGCAGCUUACUAUGGUUUUAUUGACGCUGAGGCACGAAAGCGUGGGGAUCAAACAGGAUUAGAUACCCUGGUAGUCCACGCCCUAAACGAUGAAUACUCGCUGUUAGCGAUAUACAGUUAGCGGCUAAGCGAAAGCGUUAAGUAUUCCACCUGGGGAGUACGCCCGCAAGGGUGAAACUCAAAGGAAUUGACGGGGGCCCGCACAAGCGGAGGAGCAUGUGGUUUAAUUCGAUGAUACGCGAGGAACCUUACCCGGGCUUGAAAGUUAGUGAAUUAUCUAGAGAUAGAUAAGUGAGCAAUCACACGAAACUAGGUGCUGCAUGGCUGUCGUCAGCUCGUGCCGUGAGGUGUUGGGUUAAGUCCCGCAACGAGCGCAACCCCUAUGUUUAGUUGCCAGCACGUUAAGGUGGGGACUCUAAACAGACUGC
rnacentral:rRNA from 1 species